rnacentral:lncRNA from 1 species
AAGAAUUUUUUAAUUUCUUUCUUCAUUUCAUUGUUAACCCAGUAAUCAUUAAGAAGCAGAUUGUUCAAUUUCCAGGAUCUUGAGAUGACGUCAUACUGGAUGAUCCUAGUGCACCCUAAAUCCAAUAAGUGUUCUUAUGAAAGACAGAAGAGGAGAAGAUACAGGAAAUAGAAGAAGGCUACUUGAGGAUGGAAGCAGAGAUUGGAGUUAUGCAGCUACAAACCAAAGAAUGCCUUGAGCCACCAGCAGCUGAAAGAGCUAGUCAGCAAUACAACUGGGAUUUGAUAUCAGAUUCAUACGAUUCCGAAGACCCUGACCACCAAAUGCAAAAGGAUAAGAGGGCAUCUCUUCUUCCAUAUUCAUAAAUACGUUGCCAACAGGAAUUUGUUGUUAUUUACACUUUCUUCUCCUAGACAUUUU